AUUGAACGCUGGCGGCAGGCUUAACACAUGCAAGUCGAGCGGUAACAUUUCUAGCUUGCUAGAAGAUGACGAGCGGCGGACGGGUGAGUAAUGCUUGGGAAUAUGCCUUGUGGUGGGGGACAACAGUUGGAAACGACUGCUAAUACCGCAUAACCUCUUCGGAGUAAAGUGGGGGACCUUCGGGCCUCACGCCAUUAGAUUAGCCCAAGUGAGAUUAGCUAGUUGGUAGGGUAAAGGCUUACCAAGGCGACGAUCUCUAGCUGGUUUGAGAGGAUGAUCAGCCACACUGGGACUGAGACACGGCCCAG
rnacentral:rRNA from 1 species